UAAUUACCAUUUAUUUGAUAUAGUUGAGUAAUUUAAUUUAAAUAAAAAAAAUAUAAUAAAAGAGGAAAAGGAAAGGUGAUGGAUGGUUUGGUGUAGGAAAAGGAAAUGACUUAUUUCCUUUAUAUUUUUUUUCAAUCAAUUAGACAUGAUUUUGGGGAAUUAUAGUUAAUAUUGGGUAAGGGAAAUUUGACAAUUUUAAUUCAAUAAAAUCGCUCUUUAUUAUAAAGGAUUUUUAGGCUUAAUUAGAUGAGUGGAUUAGGGAAAUUACCAUCUAUUUUGGGUGGGGCUUUAUGAGGAAAAUAGGAAUUAAAAAGGGGACAUGAAGGAAAAGAGGCCAUUUGGCCGUGACCUAGAGAGAAGAUAGAGAGAUAGAGAGUGGCGUGCUAGAGAGAAGGGGCUGCCAUUUCUAGAGAGAAGGAGGAGAAGAAAGAAAAGAAGAAGAAGAAGAAGGGUUCAAGCUAGGAACUCCUAGGGUUUGAGCAAGGAGGUGCUUCUAGAUUGGAUUCUUGAUUUCUAUCAAGAGAGAAAUGGCCUCCCCCAAUGUUUUCGACUUAUACCAGACUCAGGAGGAGGAGGAGGUCCCCCUGGUCCGACGAAAGAAAUCGACCAGGAGACACGACAACGAAUCUAGCCAAGCACCCUCGGCCAAGAAAGGUCGAGCAGCUGAUCUUCCCAAGGAUGGGCCCUCUGGCCAACCUUCUGCUCAAACACCUGCCUCUACUGAGAAGGAGGCCCCACCUGCCGCCACCAAUUCUCCUCCUGCGGUUCAAAAAGAACAGGCUCAACAAGCUGAACUUCCUGGGACCAGAAUCUCCAGCCGUUCCCUGCGAUCAGCUAAAGAUCUCCUUACUCACAUCCUAAAGCAUGAGUGUUGCAAGGAGGCAAUGGCUGAGGCUGAAAACAUGGGGGUCGAUCAGAUCCUCAACAGGGCUCUUAACGAAGUAGCCAGUGCCAUGCUAACAAUGACCGCGGCUCGUAUCGUACUAGCGCUAGCAUUGAGCAGUCUCGGGCGAAGGUCAUCGAGGAGCUUCAGGCCGCAGAGGCUAGGAAUGUUGGGGAGUUGGAGGUGGUCACCCAGCAGAAGCUAGGCAUGCUGGGGAGUUGGAGGUGGUCACCCAGCAGAAGGAUGCUUUGGUGGCAGAACUGGCAGAGAAGCAAGCUUCUCAGGAAAUUCUCAGGAAGCAGAGGGAUGACUACUUGGAGUCCAGCCGAAUCCAAUGACGUGAAGUCAAGAAACUUAGGGAGGAGCAUCUCGCUAAGGACGCGACCAUUGCUGUUCUCAAAAUCCAGGUGGAACAGCUUAAGCUCACCAAUUCCAAGGACCUGGAGAGGUAUAAGAAUGCGACACUUCGGUGUUUCUACGAUUUUCGGAAACACAACUAGAGUGCCGAUUUCAGUUACCUCCCAGAAGACGCCAGGAAGGUCGAGCUAGCCCGCUAUUCUGCUCAAUUAGCUGCCGAAGAGAGAGCUAGGGUCCCUGCUUCCCCAAGCAUUCAACCAGCCGCCGAAGUGGAGGGAGGAGAAGUUGGAGGGGACGUAGUCGAGCAAAAUGAUCCAACAGAUCCUCCUGCUCCUCAAGCUCCUUAGAGUUUUUUGUUCUUUUACUUUUCUUUAAUUACACGACCUAUGGAUCGUGAUGAAAGACUAAAUUUUUCUUUUUAAUUUUGCUGCAUGGGCAGCAUAUUUUCCUUUUACUUUGAACAAUUACAUCCAAGCAGUACUGCUUGCGGUGUAAAAGAAUUCCUUUUGAUAUUAAAAUAUUUCUGCUUA